rnacentral:rRNA from 1 species
GACGAACGCUGGCGGCAUGCCUAAUACAUGCAAGUUGAACGAUGAUAUUCUCUGCUUGCAGAGAAUUGAAGAGUAGCGAACGGGUGAGUAACACGUGGGGAACCUGCCCAUGAGAGGGGGAUAACAUUCGGAAACGGAUGCUAAUACCGCAUAAUGCUUUGGACCGCCUGGUCCAGAGACGAAAGACGGCUUUUGCUGUCACUCAUGGAUGGCCCCGCGCCGUAUUAGCUAGUUGGUGAGGUAAUGGCUCGCCAAAGCUGUGAUACGUAGCCGACCUGAGAGGGUGAUCGGCCACACUGGGACUGAGACACGGCCCAGACUCCUACGGGAGGCAGCAGUAGGGAAUCUUCCACAAUGGGCGAAAGCCUGAUGGAGCAAUGCCGCGUGAAUGAAGAAGGUCUUCGGAUCGUAAAGUUCUGUUAUUAGAGAAGAACAAGUCAAGGAGUAACUGUCUUGACUUUGACGGUACCUAACCAGAAAGUCACGGCUAACUACGUG